rnacentral:rRNA from 1 species
GACAGAGGAUGCAAGCGUUAUCCGGAAUGAUUGGGCGUAAAGCGUCUGUAGGUGGCUUUUUAAGUCUGCCGUCAAAUCCCAGGGCUCAACCCUGGACAGGCGGUGGAAACUACCAAGCUAGAGUACGGUAGGGGCAGAGGGAAUUUCCGGUGGAGCGGUGAAAUGCGUAGAGAUCGGAAAGAACACCAACGGCGAAGGCACUUUACUGGGCUAUUACUAACACUCAGAGACGAAAGCUAGGGUAGCAAAUGGG